GCUAAUUGGCAAGGAACCCUGUGCACUGCAUUGGAUUGGCAUGGAUUGUACAUUUACUGCUCUGGUUACAUAGAAAGGUCUUUCAAGUUCUAGUGUAUAGAACGUAGAUGGUACACUACUCUUAUCAUCUGCUUGGCUGCUUUCUUUCAGCGGAAGAUCUUAAAAUUGGGGUUUCAGUCUUUUUCUACUUCUUGUUGAUUGCACAGAAAAAUUAUUUUUCCAUUGCUCUUGCGGGUAAAAAUGCUUUGCGAGUUCUGUCAAUUUAUGAUUG
rnacentral:misc_RNA from 1 species